rnacentral:rRNA from 1 species
UACGUAGGGGGCAAGCGUUGUCCGGAAUUAUUGGGCGUAAAGAGCGUGUAGGCGGCCAGAUAAGUCCGCUGUGAAAUCUCGAGGCUCAACUUCGAGCUGUCGGUGGAAACUAUCUGGCUAGAGUCCGGAAGAGGAGAAUGGAAUUCCUGGUGUAGCGGUGAAAUGCGCAGAUAUCAGGAGGAACACCAGCGGCGAAGGCGGCGCUCUGGGCCGGAACUGACGCUGAGGAGCGAAAGCGUGGGGAGCAAACAGG